rnacentral:lncRNA from 1 species
UAAUUACCAAGGAGGCUGUAGAAGCCUGGGUAGAAGAAAGGAGAAGGGUUUGGUUUUUUUUCUUGCAUUUCUAGGCUAGUGCAAUCAUUUUGUUCUUUCUCUUUUUCUUCCUUGUUUGGCAUUUAGAACUGGUUGCUAUUUCUCUGAGGUCUUGAAUCUCCUGGGAGCAACAAGAGCCUCUGAAGAAGCAAUAUUUGGAUGGGAAACUUAUGUCCUCCAAGCUGGCGAGUUGCAACACUGACACAGAUUUUUCUUGUCACUGCAAAACUCUCCCUGUUAAAGGCACUGAAAACUCGGGAUCUGGAGCAUGGAAAGCACAAAUCCAGGGCAGCCAGAGGGGCUCCCAAGGGUUCCCCUGGGCAUCCCUUUGUAUGUCUUUGAGAAAACCUUUCCCUUGGCAAAGAAGAGGCUCCCAAAAGCAUGAGGAGGGGAGAGAUUCUUCUGGAACAUCACUGGGUCUAAUUUCAAGGAUUCAGAUUUUGCCUUUGCUUUUGCCACCACAAGUGAGAGCUGGAUCCCAACAAGUCUUAACUCCACAGAGCCAGCACUCAUUUUUGUAUGCUUGA